rnacentral:rRNA from 1 species
CCUACGGGAGGCAGCAGUGAGGAAUAUUGGUCAAUGGGCGCUAGCCUGAACCAGCCAAGUAGCGUGAAGGAUGAAGGCUCUAUGGGUCGUAAACUUCUUUUAUAUAAGAAUAAAGUGCAGUAUGUAUACUGUUUUGUAUGUAUUAUAUGAAUAAGGAUCGGCUAACUCCGUGCCAGCAGCCGCGGUAAUACGGAGGAUCCGAGCGUUAUCCGGAUUUAUUGGGUUUAAAGGGAGCGUAGAUGGAUGUUUAAGUCAGUUGUGAAAGUUUGCGGCUCAACCGUAAAAUUGCAGUUGAUACUGGAUAUCUUGAGUGCAGUUGAGGCAGGCGGAAUUCGUGGUGUAGCGGUGAAAUGCUUAGAUAUCACGAAGAACUCCGAUUGCGAAGGCAGCUCACUGGACUGCAACUGACACUGAUGCUCGAAAG